rnacentral:rRNA from 1 species
AUUGAACGCUGGCGGCAUGCUUUACACAUGCAAGUCGAACGGUAACAGGCCUUCGGGUGCUGACGAGUGGCGAACGGGUGAGUAAUGCAUCGGAACGUGCCCAGAGGUGGGGGAUAACGCAGCGAAAGCUGUGCUAAUACCGCAUGUGAUCUGAGGAUGAAAGCGGGGGACCAGGCAGCAAUGUUUGGCCUCGCGCCUUUGGAGCGGCCGAUGUCAGAUUAGGUAGUUGGUGGGGUAAAGGCCUACCAAGCCGACGAUCUGUAGCUGGUCUGAGAGGACGACCAGCCACACUGGGACUGAGACACGGCCCAGACUCCUACGGGAGGCAGCAGUGGGGAAUUUUGGACAAUGGGCGCAAGCCUGAUCCAGCAGUGCCGCGUGCGGGAAGAAGGCCUUCGGGUUGUAAACCGCUUUUGUACGGAACGAAAAGGCUCUGGCUAAUACCUGGGGCUGAUGACGGUACCGUAAGAAUAAGCACCGGCUAACUACGUG